rnacentral:rRNA from 1 species
CCUACGGGAGGCUGCAGUGGGGAAUAUUGCACAAUGGGCGCAAGCCUGAUGCAGCCAUGCCGCGUGUGUGAAGAAGGCCUUCGGGUUGUAAAGCACUUUCAGCGGGGAGGAAGGCGGUGAGGUUAACAACCUCAUCGAUUGACGUUACCCGCAGAAGAAGCACCGGCUAACUCCGUGCCAGUAGCCGCGGUAAUACGGAGGGUGCAAGCGUUAAUCGGAAUUACUGGGCGUAAAGCGCACGCAGGCGGUCUGUCAAGUCGGAUGUGAAAUCCCCGGGCUCAACCUGGGAACUGCAUUCGAAACUGGCAGGCUAGAGUCUUGUAGAGGGGGGUAGAAUUCCAGGUGUAGCGGUGAAAUGCGUAGAGAUCUGGAGGAAUACCGGUGGCGAAGGCGGCCCCCUGGACAAAGACUGACGCUCAGGUGCGAAAGCGUGGGGAGCAAACAGGAUUAGAUACCCUUGUAGUC